GGAAAGGCUUACGGUGGAUACCUAGGCACCCAGAGAUGAGAAAGGGUGUAGUAAUCGACGAAAUGCUUCAGGGAGUUGAAAAUAAGCAUAGAUCUAGAGAUUCCCGAAUAGGGAAACCUUUUGAACUAUUGCUGAAUCCAUGGGCAGGUAAGAGACAACCUGGCAAACUGAAACAUCUUAGUAGCUAGAGGAAAAGAAAGCAAAAGAGAUUCCCAUAGUAGUGGUGAGCGAAAUAGGAGAAGCCUAAACCAUGAAAAUGGGGCUGUGAGAGAGAAAUACAAGCGCCGUGUUAUUAGGCGAAGCGACCUAAAUGUUGCACCCUUGAUGGAAAAAGUCCGGUAGGUGAAAACAUCACUAGCUUACUCUCUGACCCGAGUAGAAUGGGGCACGUGGAAUCCCGUUUGAAUCAGCAAGGACCACCUUGCAAAGCUAAAUAAUCCUAGGUGACCAAUAGUAAAGUAGUACCAUGAGGAAAGGGUGAAAAGAACCCCCAUCAGGGAGUGAAAUAGAAUAUAAAACCAUAAGCUCCCAAGCAGUGGGAGGAGCCAGGGCUCUUACCAAGUGCCUGUUGAAGAAUGAGCAAGCGACUCAUAGGCAGUGGCUUGGUUAAGGGAACCCACCAGAGCCAAAGUGAAAGUGAGUCUUCAUAAGAAAAUUGUCACUACUUAUGGACCCGAACCUGGGUGAUAUAUCCAUGACCAAGAUGAAGCUUGGGUGAAACUAAGUAGAGGUCCAAACCGACUAAUGUUAAAGAAUCAGUGGAUGAGUUGUGAUUAGGGGUAAAAUACAACUCGAACCCAGAGCUAGUUGGUUCUCCCCAAAAUAUGUUGAGGCAUAGCAAUUGAAUGGAUAUUUAGAGGUAAAGCAUUGUUUCGGUGCGGGCUGUGAGAGCGGUACCAAAUCAAGGCAAUCUCUGAACACAAGGUAUGGCCUUAAAAAAAGGGGUCAAAGUUGGCUAGCGAGACGAUGGGUGAUAAGUUUCAUCAUCGAGAGGAAAAUAGCCUAGAUCACCAGCUAAGGCCCCUAAAUGAUCGCUCAGUGAUAAAGGAGGUAGGGAUGCUGAGACAGUCAAGAGAUUUAUCUAGAAGGAGCCAUCCUUGAAAGAGUGCGUAAUAGGUCAUUGAUCGAGAGUUUUUGCACCGAAGAUGAAUAGAGCUAAGCGAUCUACUAAAGCUGUGGGGUGUAAAAAUACAUCGGUAGAGGAGCGUUCCGCCUUAGAGGAAAGCCUCCGCAUGAGUGGUGGUGGACGAAGCAGAAGAGAGAAUGUCAGCUUGAGUAAUGCAAACAUUGGUGAGAAUCCAAUGCCUUGAAAACCUAAGGGUUCCUCCACAAGGUUCGUCCAGGGUGAGUCAGGUCCUAAGAUCAGGACAAAAGGCAUAUUCAAGGAACAACAGGUGAAUAUUCUUGUACUACCCCUUAUUAGUCCCAAGGGAUGGAGGAGGCUAGGUUAGCCAAAAGAUAGUUAUCAAUUCAAGAACAUAAGGUGUCCAUUCUCUUUUUUUAGGGUAAGAAGGGGUAGAGAAAAUGCCUCUAGACAAUGUUCAAAUACCAGGCACUACGGUGCUAAAGUAACCAAUUCCAUACUCCCAGGAAAAGCUUGAACGACUUUAAAUAUUAGGGUACCUGUACACAAAAUUGACAUAGGUAGGUAGGUAGAGAAUACCUAGGGACGUGAGACAACUCUCUCUAAGAAAUUCAAAAAAAUUGCCCUGUAACUUUAGGAGAAGAGGUGCCUCUUCACAUCACAAAGGGGGUCACAGUGACUAGGCCCGGGCGAAUGUUUACCAAAAACACAGGUCUUCGUAAAGUCAUAAGACCAUGUAUGGGGGGCUGACGCCUGCCCAGUGCAGGAAGGUCAAGAAAAUUGGUGACCUGAUGAUAGGGGAGCCGGCGACCUAAGCCUCGAUGAACGACAAUCAUAACUAUAAUGGUCCUAAGGUAGAAAAAUUCCUUGUUAGGUAAGUUUUGAAUGGAACGAAAGAUGUAUUGAUCUGGGCAUUGCCUCAGAGAGAGGCUCGAUGAAAUAGACAUAUCUGUAAAGAUGUAGACUAGCUGCACCUAGAUAGGAAGAUGCUAUAAAGUUUCACUGUUCCCUAGGAUUGGCUUUGGUCCUUUCCUGUGUAGCUUAGGUGAAAGGAGAAGAAGGCCGUCUUCUAGGGCGCCUGAUCCAUCAGUGAGAUACCACUUUAGAAGGGCUAGAAUUCUAACUUUGUGUAAGGACCUGCGGGCCAAAGGACUGUCUCAGGUAUACAGUUUCUAUGGGGCGUAGGACUCCCAAAAGGUAAUAUAGGCGUGCAAAAGUUUUCUCGGGCCGAACGAAGAUUGACCCUCGAGUGCAAAGGCAGAAGAGAGCUUGACUGCAAGACCCAUCCAUCGAGCAGGGAUGAAAGUCAGCCUUAGUGAUCCGUCGGUGCUGAGUGAAAGGGUCGUCGCUCAACGGAUAAAAGUUACUCUAGGGAUAACAGGUUGAUCUUCCCCAAGAGAUCACAUCGACGAAAAGGUUGGCACCUCGAUGUCGACUUUUCACCACCUGGGACUAUAGUAUGUUCCAGGGGUUGGGUUGUUCGCUAAUUAAAACGGUACGUAUGUUGGGUUUGGAACGUUGUGAGACUAUUCGAUCCAUAUUCGGUGUGGGCAUUAGAGCAUUGUGAGGACCUUUCCCUAUUAAGAGAGGACCGAGAAGGACGCACCUCUGGUGUACCAGUUAUCGUGCCCACGAUAAACGCUGGGUAGCCAAGUGCGGAGCGGAUAACUACUGAAAGCAUCUAAGUAGUAAGCCUACCCCAAGAUGAGUGGUCGCCUAUUCCGACUUUCCUAGAGCUUCUGGUAGCACAACCGAGACAGGGACAGGUUCUCUGCCCCUGCGGGGAUGGAGCGACAAAAGUUUUUUUUGAGAAUUCAAGAGAAGGUCACGGCC
rnacentral:rRNA from 1 species